rnacentral:miRNA from 1 species
GGGAGCAAAGUUUCAGGUUC